UCUAAUAUGGCAGAUUAGUGCAAUGAACUUAAGCUUCAUAUAUAAAGAUUACUCUUUUAUUAGAA
rnacentral:tRNA from 1 species